GUGAUCUAGGGUGCAAUGGCUGCCCCUUGGGCACGAGGGAGAAAGCGAGGAAGGGAGAAGGAGGGCAGGGAUGUAAGCUGUGCUGAGGCUGAAGCUGCCAGAGAGGCUUCAGGAGAGAACUGUUGUUCCUGGUUUUGGGACACUUGAAAGAGAGCAUCUCCCAGUGGCAAAGAUAAGAGCCCACGUCCUUCCUGCAUCCUGUGGCUGUGCAUUCUCAGCCACAAGAGUCAGCGAGUCCCCUUCCAGAGAGAAGUGAUUUGGACAAUGCAUCUUGGACUGAUGCUGCUAACCCAGCCUUAUCCAAGGGAAGUGGGUGAGGUCAGAAGACAGGGAAAGGACUUGUCUGCUGUCAGGAGGAUGGUGAAAUUGGCACAUCAGAUAGAGCUGAAUGCUGCUGUAAAGGUAGGGAAAUUGGGGCCAGUGCACUCUUCU